GUAUUUUUAAACAAUUUAUUUUUUCUUAAAUGAGUUAUUUACACAUACGUCAUUAUUUUUCAAUCAGAUAUAUUAGUGUAUUGAGAAUAGCUGCUAAAAUGAGGGCUUCAGGUUUGAACUUCAUUAUAUCUUCCAUAUUUUUAUAGAUUUAGCUUUCAGAUCAGCCCUAAAGAAAACACAAAUCAGAAAUUCUUGACUAGAAGGUUUGACAAUUACUGAGUCACGUGAGACAAAAAAAACAACAUUUGAUUAAAACGGGUGCAAAAAAAAAAAAUACUCCACAAGUUCAUCUUUUACUGUCAAUGGUAACAUGAUUGCAGUUGAGUUUGUAAAUUUACAAAGUAAAAUCAUGUACUGGCAGCUUAUUUAUAUUUAGUUCUGCCCUUUGAACUAAACAGAAAUGUUCAAGGAAAUGAAUGUGUUUGUCUUCAACUUUUAAAACUUUUGUAAAAGUGAAAAUAUCAUUUUGUGUAUAGUGGAUGAAACAUUUUUUCAGAAAACAGAAUAAACACACAAUUAUAUCAUAAAGUGUGGUGAUGUUUUUGUUUUUUUUAACAAAAUGAAUUACAGCGAAAGUGUUGCCUGAUCUAAACACAAGAUAAAGAGUUGGCUACAUUGAAAUUUUCAACAUCUUAAAAUGGUUUAGUAACCAAAAAUAUUCCAAACCAUCUUAAGUACAAACUGAUUAAAAUUGUUUAAAUUAGCAUAUGCAAAAAUAUUUUGGAUGCUACACAAAGUAACUAGUCAAAAGAAUGAUUGGAUGUCUUAAUAAUGCCAUUCAUUGUGUAUGUUUCUGGAUUACUUUUUUUUUUACAAAGUAUUGGGAUGAUUUAUCAAAAUAUCACAUUUUCCUAGUCCAAGCCUUAACUAUGGUUUAAGUAGCUGUUAUUUCAAAACAACCCUGUGCUUGGCACUUGCUUCAAUUUAUAUUAAAAUCAAUGAUUAUGUUAAGCACAAUUAUCAAAGACAUACUACAAGCUAGUUGUUUUGAAAACUGCACGUAAUUUUAAAGGCAUUUAACUCCCUUUUACCCCUUUAGGUCAGAUUUAAAAAUAGUAACAUUUGGCUAAAAGCUAAUCACUUGGGCACAAUAGAGCCUAUUCUGUGUUAAGUUUAGUCAGACCUAUUUUUAAUUCUUUGAAAAUGAAAGUAAAAUAAUUGUGAUGCCAAAAAGUUUACAAAUAUGUUACAAAUCCAAUUUGGCGUACAAGUUACAUAAACAAUUAGUGUAUAAUGUACAUUUGUUAACAUUAUGAGUAUCAUAUAAUCACUUUACAAAUUAAAAAAAAAAUUGCCUAUAACCUGUUUAAACUUUUUUUUUAAAAACUUUUCCAAGAAAAUAAUAUUUAAAAAUAAAAGUCUGUACUCAUUCAUUUUUUCAAAGGACAGAAUUUUUUAAAAAUAUAUUUGAGUUUCUCUUUCUCUGGAAUCCAAUUCUACAAGAUCAACAAAUAAGCACUGAGAGUGGUGCACCUAGAAUAUUUAAUACCUAGUGGGGUAGCUCCUUUCUUUGAGACAACAGACAAUUCAGACUUCAGUUUUUCUCAAAAUUUGACUUAUGACACUCUUAUACAACAGAUUGUGCUGACAGAGCAUGGACUUGCUACAGGCAGAUUGAUAAAUCGAGAUCUCAGAUUCAAAAGGUUUAUAUACAUACUGGAGAGUACUUUGAAGUCACUCACCACCUGAUGCCCUGUGCGACCAACAACCCCCUCAGAUCGCUAGGUACACUUCUGGCUCAGUAGGAUGUUUUAUAUUUACUAGUUGGACAUUUCAAAGAAAUAGUUUAAUUCUUGUAUCAAGUUUCAGACAUACAUAUUUGUUAUUCUUUCUAUUGAAUGUAAUAAUAAAGUUGAAUAAAGACCAAAACAUUAUAACUAUUAAAUGUAAUAAUAAAGUUGAAUAAAGACCAAAACAUUAUAACU